rnacentral:tRNA from 1 species
GAAACCGGAGGCACUGGUAGCGGGGCAUGGAUUUGAACCAUGGACCUCUGGGGACACCAGAGGUCCAAGGUUCAAAUCCAUGGGGCUUCC